AUAAACGAUUCAUGCGAUUUGGUAAGCGGUUCAUGCGAUUUGGAAAACGAUUCGAUAAUGAUGGUGAAUAUGAUGAUGAAGACGAAAUGGGCGCAGAAAAAAGGUUCAUGCGAUUCGGCAAAAGCGGAGACGAAGAAAAGCGAUUCAUGCGUUUUGGGAAAAGCGGCGAUGAAGAAAAACGAUUUAUGCGAUUCGGCAAAAGUGGAGACGACGAAAAGCGAUUUAUGCGAUUCGGCAAAAGUGGCGACGAAGAAAAGCGAUUUAUGCGAUUCGGCAAAAGUGGCGACGAAGAAAAGCGAUUUAUGCGUUUUGGAAAAAGUGGCGACGAAGAAAAGCGAUUUAUGCGUUUCGGCAAAAGUGGCGACGAAGAAAAGCGAUUUAUGCGUUUCGGAAAAAGUGGAGAUGAAGAAAAACGAUUUAUGAGAUUUGGCAAAAGUGGAGAUGAAGAAAAAAGAUUCAUGCGUUUUGGCAAAAGUGGUGAUGAUGCAAAACGAUUUAUGCGAUUUGGACGAGAUCCAACAGACAAACGUUUUAUGCGAUUCGGAAAAUCUGUAUGAUAUCCUAUGAAAAAAUUUAAAACAAUUUGAAUUUGUGAAUGUAAGCAGUAUGAUCCGUUAUUAUAUUUGUAAAUAUCAAGCUUCAAUAUUUUGAUGAGAAUGUUAAUAAAGUUGUUCAUAUGAUGUGAUUUCCGGAAAUUACAUUCAACAAAUAUUAUUUUCUUAUACAUAUUACAUAUAUUCAUACAUACUGUAUAUUAUCUUUAGUAUUUUUGCUCAACUGUGUUGAACAUGCUUGAAUAUCAUACUUCGUUUAUAAAAUAGUUGAUUAC
rnacentral:misc_RNA from 1 species